AGACUGUCAGACCAGCUAUGAUACCAUUUGGCCAUUCGCCAACCUGGAGUUUAUCAGAGGUCCACAGUUAUUGUCUUCUAUUACUCUUUGUACCCACUACUGUGAGCGUCUCAGUCAGUGGCAACGUCACACUACCCUGCUACGCACGCACAGAGAAAACGAUUGCUGAUGAUGCUGUGAACAUCCUAUGGAAUAAAGAUGACCAAAUGGUAUUACAGGUUCAAAAAGGACAUACAAAAUAUGGCUCCGGUUUUACAGACAGGGCAUCGGUUUCACUACAUCAUUAUAAGGAUGGAGAUCUUUCCCUUAACAUACUCGGGGUUACCACAUCAGAUAAGGGAUUGUACCGGUGCUAUCACAAUACAGAUGAGGAACACGGUUAUCCUAGUGCUGUCAGUCUCAAUGUUACAGCUCAUCAAAAGCUCUGUGUAAAAAAGUUUGGUGAUAAUCUCACCCUGGACCUGAUCGGCUCUGACUCUGUGACAGUAACUUUCACCGGUUCUGAUACAGAGGAGAUCCAGGUUUGCAAUGUGACAGGAAACAACCCUAAAUGUUCCCUCGACUAUAAUAACAGAGUAUCUGUCAUGAAUCACUCCCUCGUGCUGCGAGGAUUAACAUCCUCUGAUGGAGGGACAUUUACUGUGAAAGACAACAUGGGUGAAGUCAUUAGUAUCAACACUGUCACUGUUGAGGGUGUGGCCCGGAACCGUUCCUUUGUGGCUCUGUUAGCAUUUCCUUUUUUAGUCCUCCUUUUCAUUGGUCUGUUCCUUUGGUGUAAAUAUCAUAGAAAGUCACAAGUGCCAGAAAAUCGCUCCUAUUAUAAUGCCAGAGAGUCUAUUGUGGUUAUAGAGUCAUCACAGAGAGAGUCUGCAUACAUUGGAGUGCCACAACAAGAAACCAAUCCAAAUAUGUCAGGGGAUCUUGAAGAUUAUCCAGGCCUACCAGUAGAGGAGACCAUGCCUGUGAUAUUGACCACUGAGAAGCAGGACAACAUUGCUGAGGAAUAAUCUAUAUUACCUCAGUUAUAAGAAUGAAAGAAAUUAGCGUAAAUGAACAAAACAAGUGAGUGUUUAGAGAACUCUGAAAUGCACUUAAUGUAAGGGAUAUUACAGAUAUGAAGACAGAGGUAGCUCAUUCCAAAGCCUUGGAGCUGCUGCAGAAAAUGCACAGUUACCUUUACCUUUCAGGCAAGACUGGGGGACUGUAAGACAGCUGAUCAUUUCAUUUAUGUGUCCUAUAAAUUUGAUGCAGGCUAAUUAAAUCCAAAAAAUAUACUCUGGUGCUAAGCAAUGCAAGGCUUUGGUCAUAUAACAGCACUUUGUGACGAAUUCUGUAUUUCUAAUAAGAAAGCAAUUAUAUAUUGCUUAGCUCAGGAAUGAUUAUUUUAGUGAAAAUAUGAACUGCCUUCCUUAACAAGCCUUUUUACUAGGUCACUGAUAUGUCUGAUCCACUGAUCUACAUCUGUACUACUGUACAUUGUCCCCUCUGAAAGUGCUGUUUAUUUAUUUAUGUGUAAAGUGAAUGUACAAUCAUAAGAUGGGGAAUUCAUACCAGUUUUUAGGUUUUUAUAGUGGCCUCUUGUUAUCCACAAAAUGCACUUAAAAUAGUAUGAUUAUUUAGUGAUCUUUUUCCUGAUAUGUUUACAUUGCUGACAGACAUCUUAAGUCAUUAGGGUUGAGCCAGACAUGGUGGGGCUGCACAACUAUUAUUCUUACCAUAAUGAUGAUGAUGUCAGACAUGCCCACACUGGAAACCCACCUUUUGCUGGUACUGUGCUGAUGCUUUUCAAGCAUUAUUCUGCUGUUUUUCUUGCUGCUAUUAUUUACAACUAUUAUUACAAUUAUGUACAAUUAUUUGUUUGAACUGUAUCUUUAAAUGUCUUGUGUUUUAUUAACUUUUGUAUCAACAUUUCUAUUAUAUGAAUGUGUGAUCAAGCAAAUUCAAAGCAUUCAGUGAUUAAAGGGUAUAUUUAUCUGCUAAACGAAAUGUCUUAGCUGUUUUUAGAACCUAUCUAUCUAUCUAUCCAUCCAUCGCAAUGAUGUUUUGUGAAUCCAGUAACAACAAACAUGAAGAAAUUAUGUGAAAUGUGUACUUGUUUAUUCAGGAAAAAAAUAAACAAUACCAGUCAAAAGUUAUAGGACUCA
ensembl:lncRNA